UUAGUGAGUUAUCGGAGCAGUGUUGCCAAUUUAGCGACUUGGUCGCUAUAUUUAGCGAGUAUUCUUACCCCUCUAGCGACACAUUUUCAAAAAAGCGACUAGGGAAAAAUCUAGCGACUUUUUCUGGUUUUAUUGGAGACUGACGUGAAAGCACUCUUACUCUUCUCAACAAGCAGCGGGUGCUGCAGUGGGCCCCACCCCCGUACCAAAGCACUCACAGGCCCAGUCCUCACGCUGCAGUCAGAGCAGGAGAUGUUCACCCCGCGUCCAGACUGCAUAGUUUAAUAAAACACAACAAAAAAACUGAAUUAGGGCCAGACUAGUUACCAUAAUUUUCUCACAUUGCCAUUGACAGUUUUUUCUAUGGUCUCUUUUUGGUCAAUUUAGAUUGUAUACAAAAAAAUGUAAAAAAUGUUUUACUGUGACUUAUAGGCUCCUAAGUGGACCAUAAGGUUAAAAACCAAACCUAAUUAAGAAAAUAAAACAAAAAAACAAAAAAUUAAAUAAAAAACAAAGUAACUCCACCAGAGUGUCUCUUUUGGGUCACUUUUGCCAGUCCCAAGUCCAGAUAAAGGAGGAGGGGUGGAAUUGUGACAUUAAAAAAAUACAAGAAUCGACAGAAGAAAGUUCAUUUGUAGUUCUUAACAUAUUUAGGGUGUUUUUACUCCCUUUUUGUCUCUCCCACGACGUUAUUCCUCUCUCCUACAGCGUCCAUCACAAUUACAUGCACAUUGACAAUUAUGCAAAUUAGGCGAUUAUGUCAUUUAGCGACUUUUAGGAAAGAUAGCUACUUUCCUUUCCUGAGGAGUUGGCAACAGUGCCUUGGAGAUUUCUUCAAUCUCGGAGAAUGAGUACUACUGAAAACAAACGUUUCUGCGUCUCAUCAUUUUACCCUAUUAAUUCAGUUGUGUAAUGUGCAAUAUGAGUCAAAAUAUUGAGGUAGCAUGGUUAAUUACCUAGUCCAUGAGUUUCAUGUUUGAAGGCAAUUGAAGGGAUUUUUAACCGAGUGAAAAACUGGUUGGUUUUUUCCCCAUUGUAAGUAAUGGAGUUUGGCUAGGUUGCUAAUGGUUUACAUGUAAGAGAAGGGAUUAAGAUGGCGACCGAACUUUCUGUACUUUUUUUUCAACAAUAUUUUAGAUCCAAUUUGUUUUAUUUCCUAUGAACAAAGGCUCAGGACUGCCAUGGGCAAGUCUCUUGACGGGUACCAGGAAUGGUGGGAGGCCAAUCUGAAGGUAAUUAUCUUCGCACACAACAGCAGCGUCCAGGCCUCCAGAGUACUCACCCUAUCGCCUGCUGUAGGGACGGGAGCUGCAGCUGUUUACGGAGUUGUCAAACCAGAUCAGAAGGCCUCGAGGACCACCUUCAGGCAUGGGCUGAGAAGGAUGUGGAUCAGGUGAGACUGAACAUAGCGCAGGAGAAACAGGAUUGCCAUUGGAGGAGAAUCAAGGGUACCAAGUGUUUCAAAAUCUGGGUGAAUGGUUUGGAAGAAGGAUGAAAGGAAGGCGAGAACUGGGAAACCUUGCUGCUCUUUUUCUCCAAGCUGGGCUCACCAUCUGUUAAGGGACCAUCCCUUACCUCCCUCAUCAACCCCACUGACAUAAACCAUUACAGACAGGACCUAGGGGUUCUGCCCAGCACCCAGACAUGGAGCCACCUGAUGUCCUCCAUUACCCACCACCCUCCAACUUUUCAUUACAUUAGCUACUGUUAUUGUCAUGUCAUUAUCUGCUAAGAAAGAGCAAGAAAACUAUCAUACUGGGCACAUAAUGUGAGACGCACAGAUUAACUAAAAACACUAGCACUGCAAACUCUAAGAACAAAGCGAGCAGCAGCACCUAGACCUAGUGUACUUCUUAUCUCUGAAAAUGGCUAGCUCCUACAAAGAAGUCCUUGUGUCUGUAUUGAUGUGAGAAAUAAUCAUAUCUACACAGUAAAGGUGAAUGGCUGCGAUAUCAACUAGGCUAAUAUUUUUUGUAUCGAGGUAAUAGGCCUAUUUUAGCUAAAU